GGGGUUGUGGCUCAGUGGUAGAGCACUUGACUAGCACAUGAGAAGUGCUGGGUUCGACCCUCAGCACCA
rfam:Ictidomys tridecemlineatus contig023814, whole genome shotgun sequence.